GCUGAUUAAAAAAAAAAAAAUCAUGAGACUGAUAUUAAAGUCAAACAAUUUAGUUUGCUUGCUGACUCUGGAAACAAAAUGCAUCUUGAUCAUGAGGUCUUCUCUACAAAUGCAACUGCUGGUUUUGUUGCAAAGUCAAAAUCAUUCCUACAGAAGCUUGAAAUAACGCAGAUGAGUAUCUGAAGAACUCCCCAAACUCUCUCCUGUUUGUUGUGGACCCUUCAAAGGAUGCGGAAUGACAAAGCAGGGGCAAAGAAAGACACAAACCAAUAAUCCUCAUGUCUCCAUGGGACUGGUGUCCACAGGGAUGUGGUUCAGACAGGACUGAUCCUGGCACAUGCUGGUGGUGGCACCUCUCAGAGCCAGCAAACUCUCAAGUUUGCUAUAUGAGGAGGACCAGCAAAUGAAAAUGGAUCCUGGCCUGAUACCCCCCACUCCUUGAGGCUCAGCCCUUUCUCUUCCCUGUUGAGAAGAUGCAAAGGCAUCUGAAGGACCACAGAGCUCCGGGGCCAAAGAAGAAGGCUUUGAUUUCUGCAUCGCUCAUUCCACAUUAUCCCUGUGCAUGCAACCCAAAACCAUAAAUAUGGUAUGAAACCUGAUAGCUUUAUUGAAGCAAUAUGUUAUGUUCCUUCUCCUUUGAUUGCCACACAUCACAUGGGGAAAGGACUGGAAAAGUGCCCUCAGUAGUGUUAGAUUUCAAGGUUUUUAUGGGCCCAGAAUGGAAUGAUGCUCUCUAGAUAGCCACAGGCUUAUGUCAUCUCAAAAGUGUAUUGGUAUCCUACUGAGAUUAUUUAAUUCUUUUGCUCCUCACUCAUUCAGUUGAUAACUUCUUGUACCCUGAGCUGGCCUUUUUAAGUGUCUUUUUUGCCUAGGAUACCGAAAGAGCACAGACUAAUAUGUGGUAAUCUCCCUGGCACUGGUCAGUUCAUGUGUCCCCUGGACUGUUUGGUUUCAAAGAAAUUUAAUAUCUCUCAACUCUUGUUGAAGCUGAGGAAAGCACAAUAUUCUCUGAAUUUGAUGCAGUCAAAAUGGGGGAAGGAAGAAUGAAAAAUCAAUAUGGAAAAUUAUUUUCAUUUAACACCUCGGUUGUCUGACUAGAUCAUUACACUUUCUGUUUUCAUUUCUUCCUUAGUCUAUUGAAUGCUGAAUUGUCAAUUUAUAGCUGGAGAGGCAGUGGAUUUAUUCCCUUCCUGCCUCAUAUAAUUCACAGUGAAAUCCAUUUCUGAAAUAAAAAGCUGCUGAGAGUGUGAUAUGAAUAAGACUGGAUUUAACAAUUAAAAUCCCUCCAAAGAAUGAGUUUUGACUUCUAUUGCAGCCUUGUGAAUGAGAGUGGAAAUGCUACUAAUUCAAUAUCUUGUCAAUCCUAUGAAUUUUAAUGGUGUAUUAUCAAGUCAGUCAUUUUAUAUCUGAAUCUAACUAGCAGUUGGAUACAAUUAUUUUAAUGAUUUCCUAUAAUUGGUAAGCUGGAAGCGAGAGUACUUAACAGCUGGAUAGAAUGCGUAAGGCUUGAGAAUAAGUGUUUGUUAAAGACUUGUUCUCUUCAACCUUUAGAUUACAGCCCAGCAUCUUGAUGGUAUGUCUUGAACCAGUCAUGAAUCACCAGUCCAUCACCCCAUCAUUUUCUUCCACUUCAUCACUGGAAAAGAUUAAUUAUUUGAGCAGACAGCAAUGCUUAAAAAUGUUUGGAUAUUAUACUAGAAAAUUGCGCCUAGCCAGCCAAAUGCCUAGAAGAGCUAACUUCAUAAAUUCCAGAUAAAGUGGAAGUGAAUUGGUUCAUAAUAUGACUCAGUAGAGAGAACAUAUUGAUGUGUGAUUUUUUUUAUCUUACAGGAAGAAAACUAUUGUUGUGGUUGUUUCUGGUUUUAAUUUUUUUUUCAGAGAAACUCUCAUGUAUCAAAGUGUAGUGGCUCCAAUUGUGAUAGAAACUAAUCAUUAUAGACUCAUUUUCCUGCCAUAUGGACAACUCAACCAAACGAAAUGAUGUGCUGUUUUCUACUGGUUUAUUUUCCUUUGGCUAGACCAUGUGAAACCUGUUGACAGUCUGUCUUUCUUCCUCUUCUUCCUCAGUGAAUAUAGAAUAGAGGGAAAUUGUAUUUUUGCUAAUGCAUUUUAGUCUUUUACACAUAAUUUUCACAGCUACGUGUAUGUUCAUUAUAUACACCUACCUAUGCACACAUAAAUAUUUGAUCAGCAUUUUGACUCAGAAGAUUAAUCACUGCCAGAAAUUAAUCAGAAGAUUAAUUUCUAGCAAUGACACUUACCAAGAGGACAUGUAAAUUAGGAUUUAAUUUGUGUCAUUGUUGGCAUCACAAAGUUAUUGAACCGUGAAGAAAAAGAACAGGAUGAUAUUAAAAAGCAUGAAUAUAUGGGGUGCUGAAGGGAUUGUAGGCAGUCUUUAAUGGAGUUACAGUGUAGAAUUUACAGCCAAGAAAACACAUAUCAAAGACUCUGCAACUCAUCUGAAAAGGUGAUGUGUGCUUUCACAAUCUGAAGGAGUAUCUGAAUUUUUUUUAUAGAAAUAAGUUGCAAAUGGAAAAAAGAAAGCUCAAGCAGAUAGAAACCUUUAAUGGAAGGGACUGCUUCUCUGCAAAUGGCUACAGGAUUUUACUGAAAAAUUCAAGAAGGAACAUAUUUUUUGCUUAUUCGUUUGUUUUUAGAGUUUAGUUGCCCUAUUUAUUUAUUGAUAGAACAUGAAAUCUAUCUGGAAGUAUUAAAUCGAUACUGUUGUGGCAUUUAUUAACUUGACUAGAAGAAGGAAAGUAGACUUCAUUGCUACACCAAAAUUUUAGUGAUUUUCUGUCUUUUUUUUUCCUCUCACUGUUAUAGUGACUAAUUACUGAGAACAUGCUGCUUUUACUGGGCUCUCUCAAGGCAAGCUAAUUACAUGGCUCUAAUUAAGUGAUUUGUUAUGCAGACUUAACUUUUCCCAUUUCAUUUAAAAUGGCUUUAUACUCUGUUGAGAAAGAGAAAAGGGAUAGUUGUAACAUAAGUAGCAGAAACUUCAAAUCUUGAUUUUGCCUCCAGAGGAAAAAAAUGGGAAUAGGAGAUACUCCGCUGAAAUUUUAUUUCUUGAAGACAGUAGAAUGCUGACAGUAUCCUGAUAUUCUCUUUUCACAUUUUUCACUUACUAAAUUCUAAUCUCUUUAAAUGAAAGAGCUUUCAGGAACACAACAUGGUAGGAGAUAUUUAAAUGACUUUUAAACCAGGUGGCAUUCUUAAGAAUGAGCUAUUUGGGCAGUGUUCAAGAAAUAACCUAUUAAUCUCAAUUUAUUUUCUAGCAGAAGGACAUACUUGGGAAAAACAACUGCAUUUGAUAUCAUGUGCAAGGAUUACUCCUAAAAAAGACUGGGAUGUAUUUACCCCACAUUUUGAAAGCCUGGGGAAAAUUAAAAUACACUGUUGUUUCUUUCAUUUAAAAAGCUUUAGGAUCAGUGACAAAUAUAUAGUGAGUGUAUGAAAUGAUGUUAUCAUUGCUGUAAGCCACUUAUUCAAAUCCAUUUCUCUAAUUAAAAAGGUUUAUAGUGAAACUGUGUUUUUUAGAACUGGAUGAUAUGAUAGGAUAUAGAUUCAGCUUCCACAUCAACACAUAUCCCUGUAAUGCUUUUAAUAGCACAUUCAUAAUUUACUUAUGUGUUUGCAAUAUGGCUGGCCUUGUCUCAGAUUAUUGCCCACUGAUGUUGCAAUACUUAAGACAUUAAUAAAUUAAGGCACAGGCUCGGAUUUAUGGUUAAAUCUAAGUGUUCAAUGAGUUAACUCCAUUAAAGUGAUCCAUGCAUAAAAUAUGAACAUAGUGUUUUCUUUGUAGAUAAGAUCUCAGCUCACAUGUUUUUGAAUCCCUCAGAUGUUCAGUUCUUAGUGUACAAUAUUUUUUUAAAGUAUACAUGAAAGAUGCCUCACAAAAUUAUAUGUAAUGAUACAUAUCCUUGGUAUAAAAAAAUCACAAUCACUAUGUAUUUAUCAAUUCUUCCUUGGAACUAGAGAGAAAAAUAAAGAAAUAUUCUGGAAUAACAAUGGUUUAUGCUGGCUGACAUAUGAUCUGUGACAUGAGCACUGGCACUCAGACUUUUAAAAAUACUCAGGAUUUCUUUUCUUUAAAUACAUGUCUGCUAGGAAAAACUUGGGAAAGAAUGCUUUGAUGUUUUAGUAAGUUCAUAUAAUUUAUAUC